AAGAUUCCUCCUCGCACAGUGCCUGGCCCAGAGCAGCCACUUGAGAGCUGCGUUUUCCAUCUCUUUCCUUUCCUAACAGGAGGUGGCCUCUGCGGGGAAGUGGGCCUUGCGGCGGUCGACCAUUCUGAACCCAGCAGGGGCUGCGGUCCGGGGCAAGAGAUUAGGGGGCUGCCAGGUGUGACUGAGCUCAUGAACAGCCUCUUGGGUGGGUCUGUGGGCCCUGGGAAGGCCGAAGUUGACGUUGGCAACACGGAGGAAGGGGCGUCUGAGCCACUCUCAGGAAGGACGAGAGUCUGCAUCAAGAGCGGCAGUGAGAAGCUGUUGUCACGUCACCUAUUUUGGCGGGGCAUUUCACUCCCUCUGAUGAAUGCCCCUUUGCCUUGGAUUCUUCGAGGAUACAAUUUUCCAGAAAAAUGGGACUCCUGUUUAUGCUGAGGAUUCCAGACUUGAUGAACAUGGCUUAAUCCAACAUCUUUGCCUCCAGAGGAUGACUUUUUCCAGACAAUCAAAGAAAUUCUGUGCAUUCUUAAAACAAAAAGGUGAGAUAUUUUAAAAAACCCCAAAAAACUGGUCUGAAAAGCUCAUCCUGCUAAACCUUUAUGAGCAGAGGUCCCCACUUGUGCUUAACGUACGUUCACUCUGUUAGAGAAAAGUGUCCAAGACAUGUCUGCAGAACCAGGAGCAAUCGCCCAAUAGUAUUUUCUGGAGAGAAUGAGGAACCUGCUAGGAAGGAACACUUCCCGAGGAGCCAGGUGGUUCAGCAGCAAUGCACCAAGUCCUGGGAAGAGAGAUCCUUGGAAUUUCUGCCAUUUGUGACAAAGGGUUUGCCUGCAGCGUCUGCAAUGACCGGUGAAGGCUGAGAUGGUUUGUUCUUGCAUGAACAUGAGUCACCCUUGAACAUCCCAAGAAGCAGUUGGGGGAGCCUUUGAAAGGAGCUGGAGUUGCAGCAAGUUCACCAGUAGUUACCAGAGUCAGAGAAACCCUUUGGUUCGUGUGUCCACGAGUUUCUGGAAUUCCAGCCAACCCAUUCACCAUAUAAUAAGGGCCUUCUAGAGGCAAAAGUUUCCUAACAGAGUCGGGUGAGCAUUUGUGGGAAUGAGAGGCAUUAUUGCAUUUUGGUAAGAAGGAUCAUUUUUUAAGUAAAGCUUCAUGCUUCAUCAAAUUAUAGCAGAGGUGGCCUCCAGUUACAGGAAAAUUGAUGCUCUAUGACACAGAGACACAUCAUAACUCAAGAGCAAUUUCUCUCUCAGACACGGAAGAAGAAACACAACACAAUGGGUUCUGGUUGUUCCUUUCCACUCCAGAGAGCACCAGACAGUGAAUCUCUCAGCCUGACUGGCCACAUCCUGUCACUCUGUAAGAAAAACCACCUACUAGUUAAGAGGUGAUGGACAAAAUCAGAUCCUUUUCACGCAUGAUGAAGUCAUUCAAUGUACAAAGCCCACAAGCAUAAUGUCAAACCUCAGCUUUCCCUGUCACGAUUUACGUAACAUUAAGAAUUUCCCCAUUUUUGUGCCUCUCCUCUUACUUAGACUACCAGGACAAAAGGCCAAAUAUCAUAUUUGGAACAAAAGUCCUUAAGAAAAAUGAGUAUUGAUCUUUUUGAGCUCCAUCUUUCAUAUCCUUCCAUUAUCGGUGCCACUGCUUAAUUUUUAGACCAUUUCAUAUCUUCCAAGAGAAAUUUUUUUAAUUUUUAUUCACCACUCCUGAGAGAAUUCUAGACUUUCACUCUUUGUUUCAGUUGCCCAGAGAGGAGAACCAGAAGCCCAGUAGGUUCCUGAAAGUGGGGCAGAUCUUAAACACAAAACGAAAAGCCCUGAGUCACAAGUCUGGUGAGAGUAAGGUCAUUGGUUCCCCACCAGUUGUAUUUCUCUGACUCUAGUAGCUACUGGUGAACUUGUCACCUGACGCAAUUCCAGGAGGAGCACCAGAAACACACCUGAAGUUCCACACAGGCCGGAUCCUCUGCAAAAGGCCCUGGGAGCUGAGGGUCCCUGGGUGGACACCACCAAGUGCCCUUCACCCAUGGCAAGCACAGCUUGGGUUUUCCACAGCAGGUGCAGGACAUACCUGUGGCAUGCGCAUUUUGCCCUGUUUUGUUGCAAAGACCUCUGACUGAACUUAAAAAUACAAAAUAGACAUAUCGGGCCGAUAAAUGCAUUAUAUUCUUGAAUUAAGCAAACCUUUUAGAGUCAAACCUCUGAUACAAACCUGCUGUUAGUCCUUCGAUCUUAAAACAGAAAGUUUUUCUGAAGGUAAUU
ensembl:lncRNA